rnacentral:tRNA from 1 species
AGCGCUAUACUUUAAGUUAAAAGGUUAGAGUUGCAUACUAAUAAUGAGAUUAUUUACUCUGGUGCUG